rnacentral:rRNA from 1 species
CGAGUUCCUCUUGUAACGACGCAUAAAGUUACAGGACGUCCCAAAGGAAAACCGGACAGUACCUUCGUGCUAGCCACGGCCAGGAUGCGAAGUGUUCAUAUAGUGAUCAAGACGUUUUCCGCACCACCUACGGUCGAAGAGCAACAAGUUCGAUCGACAAAGACGGAUACAUAGCCGCUGUUGUUCUUCCGGACCUUCUCGCUUGUGACGUCCCGUGACUUCUAUUUCGAAUGUCUUUCUUUAUUUCUACCGGUAUAAGAGUGUAUGAGGACCUAAAGUAAAUGUAGUUGAAGAGUUCUCUCCUCAUGAGGAAAAAUCAUCAGAGUCAAAUUUCAUUUAAUUUACUUUCCUCAUGAGGAAAAGUCAACAGAGCCAAAUUUCACUUACUUUCCUCAUGAACGAGGGACAUGAUCAAUGAAG